UACCCGCAGCACAAGUGGUGGUCAUUAUUAUUGGGCCUAAAGCGUCCGUAGCUGGCCUGUUAGAUGCCUGGGUAAAUCGAUGCGCUCAACGCAUCGAACUCCGGGUAGACCGGCAGGCUUGGGACCGGGAGAGGCGUGAGCUACUCGGGGGGUAGGGGUAAAAUCCUGUAAUCCUCCGGGGAGGACCAGUGGCGAAGGCGUCACGCUAGAACGGCUCCGACAGUGAGGGACGAAGCCCUGGGGCGCAAACCGG
rnacentral:rRNA from 1 species